rnacentral:rRNA from 1 species
UGCUCCUACGGGGGGCAGCAGUGGGGAAUAUUGCACAAUGGGGGGAACCCUGAUGCAGCGACGCCGCGUGAGUGAAGAAGUAUUUCGGUAUGUAAAGCUCUGUCAGCAGGGAAGAAGAAAGACGGUACCUGACCAAGAAGCCCCGGCUAACUACGUGCCAGCAGCCGCGGUAAUAUGUAGGGGGCAAGCGUUAUCCGGAUUUACUGGGUGUAAAGGGUGAGUAGGCGGCAUGGUAAGCCAGAUGUGAAAGCCUUGGGCUUAACCCGAGGAUUGCAUUUGGAACUAUCAAGCUAGAGUACAGGAGG